rnacentral:tRNA from 1 species
GCGGGCGUUGCCAAGCCUGGUCUAAAGCGAUGGGCAGAUGCAAUUAAAAUUUGCGUUUGCAGAUUCGCUGAGCAUAGGCGCAGGACUCAAGAUCCUGUCGGUUAGUCCGUUCGCAAGUUCAAACCCGAGCCCUUUUCGCGAAAAGGUUUAGGGAUAAUCCCAAAAGGCAGAUUGCCUUCGGUGAUAUUAGAAAAUCUUGCCGCCCGCACCA